GGACAGCCUAUCUUGUGGACCACUUGUGAUACCAGGCCAUGCAAGAGACACAUCCAUUCAUUCACAAAUAUUUGCUGGUCACCUACAAUGCACUGGACAUAAAGCAGACCAUAAAACAAAGCCCCAGUCACAUGAAGUUGAAAUUCUAACUGGGGAGUCAGUGGUAGAUGAAUGAGUCUGUGUACGUGAGCGUUCAUGCGUACAGGUAGUGCCAAGUGACAGGAAGAGAAAUAAAACAGAGGAAGAAGAGGAUGGAAAGGGGUGCCACCUGGUCAAGCAGAUAUCUGAGCAGAGACCUCAGUGAGGAACUGUGUUAACUUCACCUCUGCAUCUCAAACGAUGGUAAUCCUGCCCGACACGUAGUAAGUCCAAAGCAGAAGCAAGAAGGUCUGGAGUUUGGAAAAAGAAAGCUGGGAGUCAAAGUCUUUGCUACAAGUAUCACCUCACUACUUCAUAUCUGUGUGUCCUGGGCAAAGCAUUUAAGCUCCUUAAGCGUCAGAUUCCUUACCUGGAUAGGUACGAAGGAUCCCAAACACGAAAGCUGUCAAGCGGAUGAAAUGCACACACCACGGAAGGCCCUUAGCCCAGGGCCUGGUGAUGUAUUUUUCAGGAUCUAUAUUCUUGUCCUACUGUUCACAAGAUUUCGUUUUAGCAGAAUGUCUUGGAUGGAAGAAUGAGGAUUACAUAUUUUUGUAUGGUAGAGGUUUAAAUAUACUUGCGUGCAAACAACAUUUCUAUAGUCUGGCUCAUUUAUUCUAUGUAGUGCCCAUACACAGGGUGACAUAUGAGAAAUUGUCCCACAGUAUGAAAUCAAUCACUGUGCUUUUAGGCCUGUGCUUAUUAAGAGGCAGUAAAGAUUUCUUUCCAUUGCCUAGUCUUUUGCAGUAACUUGUUGACCUCGGCUUGGUGCUCUGAGUAAUAGACAUAUGCCAGAGGUUGCCAGGGCAGAAAGCCAAGACCUGGGAUGAGCCAGGUCUCAGCAGGAAAAGGCCAGAGGAGAGGAAGUAAUUUUAUAAUUUAUCAAAAUAGGAAUACUUGGAGCACAGAUUUUAUGAAAAACUAAGAAUUGCUCUUUUAAAAAAUAAAAAUAUGAAAUUCACAGUUAACUUUGAAAUA
rnacentral:lncRNA from 1 species